AACGAACGCUGGCGGCAUGCCUAACACAUGCAAGUCGAACGAGACCUUCGGGUCUAGUGGCGCACGGGUGCGUAACGCGUGGGAACCUGCCCUUAGGUUCGGAAUAACUCCCCGAAAGGGGUGCUAAUACCGGAUAAGGUCUUCGGACCAAAGAUUUAUCGACUUUGGAUGGGCCCGCGUUGGAUUAGCUAGUUGGUAGGGUAAAAGCCGACCAAGGCGACGAUCCAUAGCUGGUCUGAGAGGAUGAUCAGCCACACUGGGACUGAGACACGGCCCAGACUCCUACGGGAAGCAGCAGUGGGGAAUAUUGGACCAUGGGCGAAAGCCUGAUCCAGCAAUGCCGCGUGAGUGAUGAAGGCCUUAGGGUUGUAAAGCUCUUUUAACCGGGAUGAUAAUGACAGUACCGGGAGAAUAAGCUCCGGCUAACUCCGUG
rnacentral:rRNA from 1 species